AACGGGUGAGUAACGCGUGGGCAACCAACCUUACACAGGGGGAUAACGCAGAGAAAUUUGCGCUAAUACCGCAUAAGCGCACAGGAUCACAUGAUCUGGUGUGAAAAACUCCGGUGGUGUAAGACGGGCCCGCGUCUGAUUAGCUAGUUGAUGAGGUAAGAGCUCACCAAGGCGACGAUCAGCAGCCGACCUGAGAGGGUGAUCGGCCACAUUGGGACUGAGACACGGCCCAAACUCCUACGGGAGGCAGCAGUGGGGGAUAUUGCACAAUGGAGGGAACUCUGAUGCAGCAAUGCCGCGUGAAGGAAGAAGGUUUUCGGAUUGUAAACUUCUAUCAGCAGGGAAGAA
rnacentral:rRNA from 1 species